rnacentral:rRNA from 1 species
CAAUAGCGUAUAUUAAAGUUGUUGCGGUUAAAAAGCUCGUAGUUGGAUUUCUGCUGAGAACGACCGGUCCGCCCUUUGGGUGUGUAUCUGGCUCUUUCUUGGCAUCUUCUUGGUGAACGUUGCUGCACUUGACUGUGUGGAGCGCUACCCAGGACUUUUACUUUGAGGAAAUUAGAGUGUUUCAAGCAGGCAUACGCCUUGAAUACAUUAGCAUGGAAUAAUAAGAUAGGACCUCGGUUCUAUUUUGUUGGUUUCUAGAGCUGAGGUAAUGAUUAAUAGGGAUAGUUGGGGGCAUUAGUAUUUAAUUGUCAGAGGUGAAAUUCUUGGAUUUAUGAAAGACUAACUUCUGCGAAAGCAUUUGCCAAGGAUGUUUUCAUUAA